GACGAACGCUGGCGGCGUGCCUAAUACAUGCAAGUCGAACGAGAGGAUGGGGUAACCCAUUAGUAAAGUGGCAGACGGGUGAGUAAUACAUAAGUAACUUACCUUUUAGUUGGGGAUAACCUUCCGAAAGGAGGGCUAAUACCGAAUAAGACCACAAGAACUACGGUUCUAGGGGUUAAAGGUGGCUUCGGCUAUCGCUAAAAGAUGGGCUUAUGCACCAUCAGGUAGUUGGUAAGGUAACGGCUUACCAAGCCUAUGACGGUUAACUGAUCUGAGAGGUUGAUCAGUCACACUGGAACUGAGACACGGUCCAGACUCCUACGGGAGGCAGCAGUAGGGAAUAUUGCGCAAUGGAGGAAACUCUGACGCAGCGACGCCGCGUGGGUGAUGAAGGCUUUCGGGUCGUAAAGCCCUGUCGGAGGAGAAGAAAACGGUAUGGCUAAUAUCCAUACCGCUUGACGGUAUCCUUAAAGGAAGCACCGGCUAACUACGUG
rnacentral:rRNA from 1 species